UAUGAUGAUGGUUUGGGGCUCACACAGA
rnacentral:piRNA from 1 species